GUCCGGGUGGCGGAAUGGUAGACGCGCUAGCUUGAGGUGCUAGUCCUCGCAAGGGGGUAGGGGUUCAAGUCCCCUUUCGGACA
rnacentral:tRNA from 1 species